GAUGAACGCUGGCGGCGUGCUUAACACAUGCAAGUCGAACGGUGAAGGCGGAGCUUGCUCUGCUUGAUCAGUGGCGAACGGGUGAGUAACACGUGAGCAAUCUGCCCCUGACUCUGGGAUAAGCGCUGGAAACGGCGUCUAAUACUGGAUACGAUCUGCUAAGGCAUCUUCAGCAGCUGGAAAGAACUUCGGUCAGGGAUGAGCUCGCGGCCUAUCAGCUUGUUGGUGAGGUAACGGCUCACCAAGGCGUCGACGGGUAGCCGGCCUGAGAGGGUGACCGGCCACACUGGGACUGAGACACGGCCCAGACUCCUACGGGAGGCAGCAGUGGGGAAUAUUGCACAAUGGGCGAGAGCCUGAUGCAGCAACGCCGCGUGAGGGACGACGGCCUUCGGGUUGUAAACCUCUUUUAGAAGGGAAGAAGCGAAAGUGACGGUACCUGCAGAAAAAGCGCCGGCUAACUACGUG
rnacentral:rRNA from 1 species